ensembl:snRNA U6 U6 spliceosomal RNA
GUACUCGCUUCAGCAGCACAUAUACUAAAUUGGAAUGAUACAAAGAAGACUAGCAUGGCCCCUGCACAUGGAUAAAGGCAGGCUAUACUUCCCUCCAUAUAU